rnacentral:lncRNA from 1 species
GUACUGUAAGAUAUCAAAUUGAACAAUUGAUCGAUUCCGAAGAAACUCAAUCACUACUUAAAUUCGUUUGUGAUCUAGAUAUUUAGACCACCUCCAAUGGUGGGUUUAGGGUGAGGUUCUUAAGAAGAAAAGGAAAAAAAAUAAAUCAAAAAUGAUAAAAUUAGACAGAACCGCUCCUUAAUUAAGGGGAUAUAGAAUCGGUUGAAACCCCAUAUGUGGCGCAUGUGUAUUGGGUCGUUGCUUUCACACGAAAGGAAAAAAAAAAUUGGCCAUUGAUG